AGGGAAUUAGCUCAGUUGGUAGAGCGCCACCCUUACAAGGUGGAUGUCGUCGGUUCGAGCCCGGCAUUCCCUACCA
rnacentral:tRNA from 1 species